CAGUCGCCGCGGGAAUACAGAGGGUGCGAGCGUUAAUCGGAUUUACUGGGCGUAAAGCGUGCGUAGGCGGCUUCUUAAGUCGGAUGUGAAAUCCCUGAGCUUAACUUAGGAAUUGCAUUCGAUACUGGGAAGCUAGAGUAUGGGAGAGGAUGGUAGAAUUCCAGGUGUAGCGGUGAAAUGCGUAGAGAUCUGGAGGAAUACCGAUGGCGAAGGCAGCCAUCUGGCCUAAUACUGACGCUGAGGUACGAAAGCAUGGGGAGCAAACAGGAUUAGAUACCCGCGUAGUCCCUGUCUUUUAUAA
rnacentral:rRNA from 1 species